rnacentral:rRNA from 1 species
UACAGAGGUCCCAAGCGUUGUUCGGAUUUAUUGGGCGUAAAGGGUGCGUAGGCGGGCAGGUAAGUCCGUGGUGAAAUCUCUGAGCUUAACUCAGAAACUGCCAUUGAUACUAUUUGUCUUGAAUACUGUGGAGGUCAGCGGAAUAUGUCAUGUAGCGGUGAAAUGCUUAGAUAUGACAUAGAACACCAAUUGCGAAGGCAGCUGGCUACACAAAUAUUGACACUGAGGCACGAAAGCGUGGGGAUCAAACAGG